rnacentral:rRNA from 1 species
UACAGAGGGUGCAAGCGUUAAUCGGAGUUACUGGGCGUAAAGGGCGCGUAGGCGGUUAGUUAAGUGAGAUGUGAAAUCCCUGGGCUUAACCUGGGAAUGGCAUCUUAAACUGGUUAACUGGAGUACUGUAGAGGGUAGUGGAAUUUCCGGUGUAGCGGUGAAAUGCGUAGAGAUCGGAAGGAACACCAGUGGCGAAGGCGGCUACCUGGACAGAUACUGACGCUGAGGCGCGAGAGCGUGGGGAGCAAACAGG